AUUGAACGCUGGCGGCAGGCCUAACACAUGCAAGUCGAACGAGUGGCGGACGGGUGAGUAAUGUCUGGGCAACUGCCUGAUGGAGGGGGAUAACUACUGGUAACGGUCGCUAAUACCGCAUACCAUCGGAUGUGCCCCGAUGGGAUUAGCUAGUAGGUGGGGUACAGGCUCACUUAGGCGACGAUCCCUAGCUGGUCUGAGAGGAUGACCAGCCACACUGGAAAUGAGACACGGUUCAGACUCGUACGGGAGGCAGCGGUGGGGAAUAUUGCAUAAUGGGCGCAAGCCUGAGGCAGCUAUGCCGCGUGUAUGAAGAAGGCCUGCGGGUUGUAAAGUACUUUCAGCGGGGAGGCGUUACCCGCAGAAGAAGCACCGGCUAACUCCGGGCCAGCAGCCGCGGUAAUUC
rnacentral:rRNA from 1 species